rnacentral:sRNA from 1 species
AAAAUAUUUGUACCAUAUCAUCUUCACAAGAAUUUUUUCCAUGCGUUACAAAAUAAAACUUAAAUAUUAGAUUCUGUUUUUCAUUUCAAAUAUCAGUCUUCAGCUCUUUCAACAUCCAAAUGCAUGUAAUAUAUGAGCUGUGAGAAGUCUACAACACUACAACUAUUCAUAUUUCUCACAAUAACAACUCUUUGUAAAUUUUGGUAAUAUU